UACGAAGGGGGCUAGCGUUGCUCGGAAUCACUGGGCGUAAAGCGCACGUAGGCGGACUCUUAAGUCGGUGGUGAAAUCCUGGAGCUCAACUCCAGAACUGCCUUCGAUACUGAGAGUCUCGAGUCCGGGAGAGGUGAGUGGAACUGCGAGUGUAGAGGUGAAAUUCGUAGAUAUUCGCAAGAACACCAGUGGCGAAGGCGGCUCACUGGCCCGGUACUGACGCUGAGGUGGCGAAAGCGUGGGGAGCAAACA
rnacentral:rRNA from 1 species